rnacentral:misc_RNA from 1 species
AAACAUCAAUGCCGAAUACAGAUUGAAAUCAAACCAUCACUUGCCCUUAAUAAAGUGCAAGCACCAGGAUUUCUAAAAUAUGACUUGAGUAAGAUACCACCAAAGUUAAGGAGGAAAAGUAAUGUUUGUGCUGCAAGCAGUUCUGCUAAAUUUGUCAAGAAAUCAGCUCCAUUGUCCAUAUUCAAUGAAGAGUUAGACGUGCCAAAUGAAGUUCCUCCGACCAUGGAAGAAGUUUCUGCAGCAUCCUGCAGUAUUCCUAUUGAGAACAAUUUCAAACUUUAUUGUCUUGGAAUUGUUGAAUCACAGUAUUUUUGUCCGUGCAAUGGCAGCAUGACUGUAUUUGCUCUGGCUGAUUUUGAUGAAACAAGAAAGGAACUUCAGAAGCAUCAGAUACAAACUGUGAGAAGGAAAGCAGUCAAAUUUGAAGGAGACACUCGAUGGAUUUGCUUCUGCUCCUGUAAUCCACUGCAUGCAGAAUAUGUGGAUGCAUUGUCUGCAAAUCUACUUACUUCAUAUGAAGACUUCUCAGAAACGAAAUGUAUACAUGUUAGAGUGGUUGAGAAGUUCACUGAUGAAUUUGAUGAUAUUUCCCCGGAUGUGUACUUCUCAGAGCAUUCAUAUGGCAAAAAAGAGACAGAGGGACUGAAAGAGCUGUCGCUUUUCUUUGUAAUGGAUUUGUGGGUUUGAGAAUUCAUGCAUCCAUGCAGAUUUACCAGAAAAGAGAGAGAACGAGCACAUGGCGAAAUCUGUCCUGGAAUGGAAGCUUGAUGGAAGAACUGUUCCUCCUGACCACUUAUUCACCAGUUUUAUUGCAAUUUAUCCAGACACCAGGUUGACCAAUGUGAGAUUUGGAAAUGGACUGGAACCUGAUACAUUCAACUCCAUAUAUUUCAAGUGUCUGAUCGUCUUCAUAAUAUCCGAUGUUAUACCGGUAUCCACUGUGUUCAUUCUGGAAUCCGUGAAGUUUGUGAUAAUCGUGUGUAAAUGUUGUGUUGUACCCAUAGUAUUAUAUCCCGGAAUGUGUUCCAAUUAGUGAUUGCUGAGGACCAUGGAGACUGGUGCUGUGAAAUGAACUUAGCAAUGUGACAUAUUCACCUGAUUAUGUUUUGCUUAUAUUUUGUAUAAUGUAUGUUUUUUUAAGGGAAUUUGAUUGAAAUGCACCACUCAAUUUUAGUCAAAUGCAUAGCAUUUGUCUUUAAAGGGGGAGGAAUGUGGUAGAUCGGGAUUUCAUUUCUAUUUAUUAUUAUAAGUAUUCCGAUCCCGAUGUGAUUUUAUUCCAUUACUUUGGUAACGCCCACUUUAUACGAACGCCAAUAACUUUAAUGACAGUUGUCUUUGUUCUCUUUUCCGUAUAUAAACCAGUGUAAGUCCUUAUUUGAAGAGGGAGACGGCUGGUUUCGCUAGCUACUUUUCUCCAAGCAGAGAGGGGGAGGGAGACGGCUGGUUUCGCUAGCUACUUUUCUCCAAGCAGAGAGGGGGAGGGGGACGGCUGGUUUCGCUAGCUACUUUUCUCCAAGCAGAGAGGGGGAGGGAGACGGCUGGUUUCGCUAGCUACUUUUCUCCAUGCAGAGAGGGGGAGGGAGACGGCUGGUUUCGCUAGCUACUUUUCUCCAAGCAGAGAGGGGGAGGGAGACGGCUGGUUUCGCUAGCUACUUUUCUCCAAGCAGAGAGGGGGAGGGAGACGGCUGGUUUCGCUAGCUACUUUUCUCCAAGCAGAGAGGGGGAGGGAGACGGCUGGUUUCGCUAGCUACUUUUCUCCAAGCAGAGAGGGGUAGGGAGAGGGCUGGUUUCGCUAGCUACUUUUCUCCAAGCAGAGAGGGGGAGGGAGACGGCUGGUUUCGCUAGCUACUUUUCUCCAAGCAGAGAGGGGGAGGGAGAAGGCUGGUUUCGCUAGCUACUUUUCUCCAAGCAGAGAGGGGUAGGGAGACGGCUGGUUUCGCUAGCUACUUUUCUCCAAGCAGAGAGGGGGAGGGAGACGGCUGGUUUCGCUAGCUACUUUUCUCCAAGCAGAGAGGGGGAGGGGGACGGCUGGUUUCGCUAGCUACUUUUCUCCAAGCAGAGAGGGGGAGGGAGACGGCUGGUUUCGCUAGCUACUUUUCUCCAUGCAGAGAGGGGGAGGGAGACGGCUGGUUUCGCUAGCUACUUUCUCCAAGCAGAGAGGGGGAGGGAGACGGCUGGUUUCGCUAGCUACUUUUCUCCAAGCAGAGAGGGAGAGGGAGACAGCUGGUUUCGCUAGCUUCUUUUCUCCUGAGUCCCCGUCUCUUCUGUCUCUUUGAGGUCCCUGUUAAAGUUUGGUUUUAGGGUUGGGGAUUUUAAGUACUUGAUAUUGACUUGUGUACCUAUUUUGUUAAUAUAAUAAUAAAUUUAUAAAGGGUU